UUGCUUUUUGUUUGCUAAAACAGUGUACGAAACGAUGCUUGACCUAUUCUUUGAUAGACAACUCUUGUUCUCAAGUUAACCAUUUAUUUCGAUAAUUUUUAGAUAACUUGCCAUACCAUCUUGCAGUCGAAGACAACAAGCGAAGGAUUAGAAUAUACCACGCCCCCAAAGAAGGAGGAGUCUACUAAAUAUUACAUUUGUCGAUCAAUUGUUAUGCCGAUUUCGUCAAUCAGAACAGUCAAUGGCGACGCGCCGUUAGAACGGCCACAUGAGCGAAUGCGAUUGAAGCGUUGUGCACGUAUCAGUCAUUCAGAGCUACGAUUGCGCUGUGGUAGUGCUUGGAUGCAUUGCAAGGAAAUUCCAUGACAUCGCCAUACUGAUUAUUUUCUCCUCAUCUACGAUACCUAAGGAAGAAACUACUGCUGUAGAACUGUCAAAGCUCAAAAAAAAAAUUCCAAUCAACAAUAUGAUAGAUCAACCUCAGAUUUAUGGUGACACUUGACAUAGGAUCUGGAUGUCGCAGAUUCCUCUUAUUAUCAAGAAAAUAUUGAUAAUUCAAGUUUUGUUAAAGGAUUAUUAUGGUACUGUUCCCACCCACUCCACAUCCCCCUACUCAUGGUACACAUGAGUUAAUCAGGUUUUGCUUCAUCUCACAGUAGACAGAUUGUUGUGUUCAAGAGCGAACCUGAGCUUCUGUUGGUGGUGGUUGCAAAACCAGUUCUUAACAGAUUGUUAACUACAGGUUGUUAACCAUGGAAUCCUGAUCAGUCAUCUGCGAGUGGGAAUGUACUUGACAGCAAUUUUUGGCCCAAUAUUCUGGGGCUGAGAAAUACCUUGAGGAAAGUUCUACAUUACAUAUUUGGAACCUCUUAGAAUGGCAAAACCAAUCUAUCAAGCUUUUAACUUCAAAGUUGAAGUACAUAGUAGAAAUGGAACAAGACACUGGAAGGUUUUGGUGUUCGACACUUGUUAAAAAUGAUAUGCCACUAAUGUUUCAACCCUUUGUCAUUGAGGACUUGCCUUAUGCUUAAUACUGCCUUGCGAAGAAAAAGGAUGACGUUUGCUGGCACUGUUUGGUAGCUAAAGGGAUUGUUAAUCAUCUAUUUGAACAGUGUAUAGUGGCGUGUGUUUCAUUCUGCAUCCGGCCUAUCUAUUCCUAAACGGUUGAUGAAUUUAAAAUUUCAUACCUCCGUUGACAAAGUCUUUACCAGCAGCUGUCCAACAAGCGUACUCGAAGCGACAAUAAGCAAAUGAUGGCAAAGAAGAUGUGAAAUUGAUUGUUUAUCAAACAUGAUUGUACAGUGCCAGUCCAUAUAUUUGUUAUACUUUGUUAAGAGUGUUAAGGAAGAUAUUGGUCGUGGCUGAUGUAACCAUUGACAAGGUAUUUCACUACCUUGAAUGAGUGUAUUAGCAAGAAUUUUUUUAUGCAUGUUUCCGGAUUGAAAACGCGACGUCGGAAGAAGAGCGUCUUUUCUGGAAGAACUGUCCAGUCUUAACCAGUAUCUUGCCUAUUCGCACUGUCGGUAUUCAGGUGCAGGAGGUUGCAGAAAAAUGUGUCGGGUAUGGCAAACAAAGCAGAGGGAAAUCUGCCACAUUUUUCUGCAAUGUACUGUACAACAGAUUUGAAAUUUAGUCGUUUUCGUAAUAAUGCCGUGUUCGUAAUCAGCUUUUAUUCAAGGGAGACGAUAGGGGUCACCGCAUCUAUGCCAAUGUUUGUUUUUUUUUCUCUUGUCUAGAUCUUUUAAUGGGUAGUGGUAUGUUCUUGAUGCUCGUCUUAUCGAAAUAUUUAUUUAAUUUUGUUAUUUUUUACGAUUGUGUCAUUUAUGACAAAGGGUCUUUGUAAUCAUGGCCAAUGGCCUGAGCUGGAUACCGACGACUAUGCCGCCCUUCGCCUUCUCCAGAAAGAAAAUGCGAUAGUUGCCAUAUCUACUGGAAGUCAACACCAAACUCUGAAGGUGGUUGUUAGAAAUCGGUAACACGUGGGAGUUGCAGACGAAGUACCUUUUUCCUCGUUGAACAAUAGAACACUCAAAGAGCUCCAUGUGUUUCUCAAUUUGGAUCAUCCUAUUAAUCAUAUGUCCUUCCGCCACGCUAUCCCGUGAUGAGAAAUUCUUACGACAUGAUGCACUCCAACAACGCGAUGAACCCGUGGUCGUAAUUUGGCAUGAAGAAAGAAUAGGGGAGAUGGCUAAGAUAAAACGAAAUCAAAACAAGGUAACACAACCACUUUGAAUUCAAAUUACUCGUCAAAUAUAACUCGAAUCAAAUGAA